UACGGAGGGUGCGAGCGUUGUCCGGAAUCACUGGGCGUAAAGGGCGCGUAGGCGGCGCUGGCAGUCAACGGUGAAAGCUUGGGGCUCAACCCCGAGUCGGCCGUCGAUACUCCCGGGCUGGAGCACUGUAGAGGCAGGUGGAAUUCCGGGUGUAGCGGUGGAAUGCGUAGAGAUCCGGAAGAACACCGGUGGCGAAGGCGGCCUGCUGGGCAGUAGCUGACGCUGAGGCGCGACAGCGUGGGGAGCAAACAGG
rnacentral:rRNA from 1 species